rnacentral:rRNA from 1 species
GAUGAACGCUAGCUAUAGGCUUAACACAUGCAAGUCGAGGGACCGGCGCGCGGGUGAGUAACGCGUAUCCAACCUGCCCAUAACUAAGGGAUAACCCAGCGCAAGUUGGACUAAUACCUUAUGGUUAUGGAUGGGGAUGCGUUGUAUUAGCUUGUUGGCGGGGUAACGGCCCACCAAGGCAACGAUCAGUAGGGGUUAGGAGCGGAAGGCCCCCCACAUUGGAACUGAGACACGGUCCAAACUCGUAGGGGAGGGAGGAGUGAGGAAUAUUGGGCAAUGGACGCAAGUCUGAACAAGCCAAGUAGCGUGCAGAAUGACGGCCUAUGGGUUGUAAACUGCUUUGAUAUGGGGAUAGGUACCAUAUGAAUAAGGACCGGCUAAUUCCGUGCCAGCCGCCGCGGUAAUAC